AAGACUAUACUUUCAGGGAUCAUUUCUAUAGGUUUCGACUUGAGAAAUGUGUUUCUAAAGUGAUUGGUCUCGCCAACCACGAUGAAGAGGUACGAUAUCCCUUCCUGAGCGUUAAGCUGGCUUCGAGUGUUGAGUUCCUCAUCUGCUUGUUGCCCUUGAUGACCGUUCCAUGUUUUCGCUUGAAAUAUGGAGGGGAAGGGAUAUGGUCAGAGUGGU